CACGAGUGGCGAACGGGUGAGUAACACGUGGGUGAUCUGCCCCAAACUUUGGGAUAAGCCUGGGAAACUGGGUCUAAUACCGGAUAUGACCACUGAUCGCAUGGUUGGUGGUGGAAAGCUUUGCGGUUUGGGAUGGGCCCGCGGCCUAUCAGCUUGUUGGUGGGGUAAUGGCCUACCAAGGCGACGACGGGUAGCCGGCCUGAGAGGGCGACCGGCCACACUGGGACUGAGACACGGCCCAG
rnacentral:rRNA from 1 species